rnacentral:tRNA from 1 species
GCCUGGGUGGCUCAGCCGGUUGAGCGUCUGACUUCAGUUCAGGUCAUGAUCUGGCAAUUUGUGAGUUAGAGCCCCGCAUAAGGCU